rnacentral:misc_RNA from 1 species
UGUCAGGGUAGCUUCAAGGUAUUCAACUAUUCAUGAAUUUAUGAAGUUCCAAUGAGCUUGUGCAUGUAAAAUUUUCUUUUCUGGUCUUUAAUAACAAGGUUCAGAAGAGGAGGAACCUAAUGUAAUGUUGUACUUUCUGUGACCUACACACUAACAUUCUUUUAUAGGUUUUUCCAGUUUAAUUGCAACAGGGAUUCAAUUGGUUUUAAGUCCAAAGAUCGAUACUAACAUGCAUAAAAAGAUCCCCUUUGCUGUUAUUAGAUAUGAUUAGUAAUUACUAUAGUUUUGAUUUUUUAACUUCUACUUCCUUCACUCACCUACCACUUGAACAAAGGCCUUGGUGCUGGUUGAUUGUUUUUAAAUCCUUGCUUUUACUUAGAUAUCAUAUGAAGUGAAUACAGUACAGGGAUUAACGGACUUUCAAACUUUACUUUCCCAUUGCUAAUGGUGAAUUUUUCUUUUUUAAAAGAAUUCUCCAUGCCUCAUCACAUAUAAGUUUGCUAGAGCAAGUUUGCCAAUUUGCUUGCCAAUUGAUUUGAACUCUUCAUUAGAG